GCAAAGUUUUAAUUUCGAGGAGGAAGCGCGCUGGUGUUGGCUCGUAACCUCAGAGCAGCUGUGGCUUUUCUCCUGAAACUACCAAACAGCUACGGAGACAAAAACCCAACGAGGGGAAUCGCGUAGAAACUGCGUUCACAUGCGUUGUGCGUGUGGGAAAACGGAGACUCGAAAGAUCAGCCGUGCACGGAGCGUUUCUUUGGAGAAGGAACCUUUUGUUUUCACUGUUCUUUUUGUUUUGGAACACCUAACAAGCGGUGUUAGGUGUUCCAGGGAUGAAGCUGGAGGCCGGAAUAAAAGUCUCCUCAUGUAAAGAAGGAACCUCGUCUGGACUCACAAGGACUCUGAUCCAGAAAGCCCUCUGUGGCCAGUGGAGGUCCAACCCAGGAUGGGAGCAGACCUGUUGGACCCAAGAGACUGUGUUCUGUGCCACAGAACAUCGGUUUGGGAUGUUGGAGAUGAAGGGCACUAAAAGCAUCCACCGGACUAAAAUUUGAAACGGAUGUGACGUUCUUCCUGCAUGAUGUGCAACACCAUGUUAUUGGAAAGGGAAACAAAAGGAUAAAUUCUGAGAAUCAGAUCACAGAUGCUUUCAGACGUACCUGAGGCGGUUCUUGA